GACGAACGCUGGCGGCGUGCUUAACACAUGCAAGUCGAACGAAGUGGCGAACGGGUGAGUAACGCGUAAUCAACCUGCCCUUCAGAGGGGGACAACAGUUGGAAACGACUGCUAAUACCGCAUACUGAAGGAGGGGAUUGCGUCUGAUUAGCUAGUUGGAGGGGUAACGGGCCACCAAGGCGAUGAUCAGUAGCCGGUCUGAGAGGCUUAGCGGCCACAUUGUGACGGAUCAACUGCCCAGACUCCUACGGGAGGCAGCAGUGGGGAAUCGUCCGCAAUGGACGAAAGUCUGACGGAGCAACGCGGCGAGUGUGAUGACGUCCUUCGGGUUGUAAAGUGCUGUUAAUCGGGACGCGGUACCGGAAUAGAAAGCCACGGCUAACUACGUGCCAGCAGCCGCGGUAAUUC
rnacentral:rRNA from 1 species